AGAAGAUCUGUCCAACCAACAAUAUGCAUUGGAGGUAACAAAGUAUAUCAGCACCCAAGCUCUAUCGCAGGCUGGAGUGACGAUAUGAAGAAGUGGCCGCAGGCAAAGGCAAAGUAUGCAGCCAUGUUGGGGCCCUGUUGUGGA